rnacentral:rRNA from 1 species
GAGUUUGAUCAUGGCUCAGAAUGAACGUUGGCGGCGUGGAUUAGGCAUGCAAGUCGAGCGCGAUACUUUCCUUCGGGAAAGUGGAAAGCGGCGAAAGGGAGAGUAAUACGUGGACUACCUACCCCCGGGCCCGGGAUAGCUGCGGGAAACUGCAGGUAAUACCGGAUAAUGUCCCCGGACCAAAGGUGUGAUUCCUCCCGGGGAGGGGUUCACGUCCUAUUAGCUUGUUGGUGGGGUAACGGCCUACCAAGGCAACGAUGGGUAGCGGGUGUGAGAGCAUGGCCCGCCUCACUGGGACUGAGACACUGCCCAGACACCUACGGGUGGCUGCAGUCGAGAAUCUUCGGCAAUGGGCGAAAGCCUGACCGAGCGACGCCGCGUGUGGGAUGAAGGCCUUCGGGUUGUAAACCGCUGUCAGAGGGGAUGAAAGGCUAGGGGGUUAUCCCCCUAGUUUGACACAUCUUCAGAGGAAGUACGGGCUAAGUUCGUGCCAGCAGCCGCGGUAAGACGAACCGUACGAACGUUAUUCGGAAUCACUGGGCUUAAAGGGUGCGUAGGCGGCAUGGCAAGUUGGGUGUGAAAUCCCUCGGCUCAACCGAGGAAUAGCGCCCAAAACUGCCUUGCUUGAGGGAGAUAGAGGUGAGCGGAACUACGGGUGGAGCGGUGAAAUGCGUUGAUAUCCGUAGGAACACCGGUGGCGAAAGCGGCUCACUGGGUCUCUUCUGACGCUGAGGCACGAAAGCUAGGGUAGCGAACGGGGAUUAGAUACCCCNGGUAGUCCUAGCCGUAAACGAUGGGCACUGGGUAGGGGAGGCACCUAUGGUCUUCUCUGCCGAAGCUAAUGUAUUAAGUGCCCCGCCUGGGGAGUACGCUCGCAAGAGUAAAACUCAAAGGAAUUGACGGGGGCUCACACAAGCGGUGGAGCAUGUGGUUUAAUUCGAAGCAACGCGAAGAACCUUACCUGGCCUUGACAUGCAUGGAUUAGCCCUGUGAAAGCAGGGUGACAGCUCUUCGGAGUCGGAACAUGUGCAGGUGUUGCAUGGCUGUCGUCAGCUCGUGUCGUGAGAUGUUGGGUUAAGUCCCGUAACGAGCGAAACCCUUAUUGUUAGUUGCCAGCGGGUAAUGCCGGGGACUCUAGCGAGACUGCCGUUGUCAAAACGGAGGAAGGUGGGGACGACGUCAAGUCAUCAUGGCCCUUAUGGCCAGGGCGACACACGUGCUACAAUGGUAUGUACAGAGGGAUCCGAAGCCGCGAGGUAGUGGAAAUCCCUUAAAGCAUGCCCCAGUUCGGAUUGCAGGCUGAAAUUCGCCUGCAUGAAGCCGGAAUCGCUAGUAAUCGCGUAUCAGCCAUGACGCGGUGAAUAUGUUCCUGAGCCUUGUACACACCGCCCGUCAAGCCACGAAAGCGGGGAGUGCUCGAAGUCGUAUUGUCCAACCCUCACGGGAGGGCAGCGCCGAAAGCAAGCUCCGUGAUUGGGACUAAGUCGUAACAAGGUAACU